rnacentral:rRNA from 1 species
AUUGAACGCUGGCGGCAGGCCUAACACAUGCAAGUCGAGCGGAUGAAGGGAGCUUGCUCCUGGAUUCAGCGGCGGACGGGUGAGUAAUGCCUAGGAAUCUGCCUGGUAGUGGGGGAUAACGUCCGGAAACGGGCGCUAAUACCGCAUACGUCCUGAGGGAGAAAGUGGGGGAUCUUCGGACCUCACGCUAUCAGAUGAGCCUAGGUCGGAUUAGCUAGUUGGUGGGGUAAAGGCCAACCAAGGCAACGAUCCGUAACUGGUCUGAGAGGAUGAUCAGUCACACUGGAACUGAGACACGGUCCAGACUCCUACGGGAGGCAGCAGUGGGGAAUAUUGGACAAUGGGCGAAAGCCUGAUCCAGCCAUGCCGCGUGUGUGAAGAAGGUCUUCGGAUUGUAAAGCACUUUAAGUUGGGAGGAAGGGCAGUAAGUUAAUACCUUGCUGUCUUGACGUUACCAACAGAAUAAGCACCGGCUAACUUCGUG